CGGUUUAAGCGUGUAGGUGUGUGUUCCAGGUAAAUCCGGUUCACUUUAACACUGAGGCGUGAUGACGAGGCACUACGGUGCUGAAGCAACAAAUGCCCUGCUUCCAGGAAAAGCCUCUAAGCAUCAGGUAACAUCAAAUCGUACCCCAAACCGACACAGGUGGUCAGGUAGAGAAUACCAAGGCGCUUGAGAGAACUCGGGUGAAGGAACUAGGCAAAAUGGUGCCGUAACUUCGGGAGAAGGCACGCUGACACGUAGGUGAAGUGAUUUACUCAUGGAGCUGAAGUCAGUCGAAGAUACCAGCUGGCUGCAACUGUUUAUUAAAAACACAGCACUGUGCAAACACGAAAGUGGACGUAUACGGUGUGACGCCUGCCCGGUGCCGGAAGGUUAAUUGAUGGGGUCAGCGCAAGCGAAGCUCCUGAUCGAAGCCCCGGUAAACGGCGGCCGUAACUAUAACGGUCCUAAGGUAGCGAAAUUCCUUGUCGGGUAAGUUCCGACCUGCACGAAUGGCGUAAUGAUGGCCAGGCUGUCUCCACCCGAGACUCAGUGAAAUUGAACUCGCUGUGAAGAUGCAGUGUACCCGCGGCAAGACGGAAAGACCCCGUGAACCUUUACUAUAGCUUGACACUGAACAUUGAGCCUUGAUGUGUAGGAUAGGUGGGAGGCUUUGAAGCGUGGACGCCAGUCUGCGUGGAGCCGACCUUGAAAUACCACCCUUUAAUGUUUGAUGUUCUAACGUGGACCCGUAAUCCGGGUUGCGGACAGUGUCUGGUGGGUAGUUUGACUGGGGCGGUCUCCUCCUAAAGAGUAACGGAGGAGCACGAAGGUUGGCUAAUCCUGGUCGGACAUCAGGAGGUUAGUGCAAUGGCAUAAGCCAGCUUGACUGCGAGCGUGACGGCGCGAGCAGGUGCGAAAGCAGGUCAUAGUGAUCCGGUGGUUCUGAAUGGAAGGGCCAUCGCUCAACGGAUAAAAGGUACUCCGGGGAUAACAGGCUGAUACCGCCCAAGAGUUCAUAUCGACGGCGGUGUUUGGCACCUCGAUGUCGGCUCAUCACAUCCUGGGGCUGAAGUAGGUCCCAAGGGUAUGGCUGUUCGCCAUUUAAAGUGGUACGCGAGCUGGGUUUAGAACGUCGUGAGACAGUUCGGUCCCUAUCUGCCGUGGGCGCUGGAGAACUGAGGGGGGCUGCUCCUAGUACGAGAGGACCGGAGUGGACGCAUCACUGGUGUUCGGGUUGUCAUGCCAAUGGCACUGCCCGGUAGCUAAAUGCGGAAGAGAUAAGUGCUGAAAGCAUCUAAGCACGAAACUUGCCCCGAGAUGAGUUCUCCCUGAGACUUAGAGUCUCCUGAAGGAACGUUGAAGACGACGACGUUGAUAGGCCGGGUGUGUAAGCGCAGCGAUGCGUUGAGCUAACCGGUACUAAUGAACCGUGAGGCUUAACCUUAC
rnacentral:rRNA from 1 species